UACGGAGGGGGCUAGCGUUGUUCGGAUUCACUGGGCGUAAAGGGUGCGUAGGCGGUCGGGUAAGUCUGAUGUGAAAUCUCACAGCUUAACUGUGAAACUGCAUUGGAUACUAUUCGGCUUGAGAGUUGGAGGGGGGACUGGAAUUCUUGGUGUAGCAGUGAAAUGCGUAGAUAUCAAGAGGAACACCAGUGGCGAAGGCGAGUCCCUGGACAACUUCUGACGCUGAGGCACGAAAGCUAGGGGAGCAAACAGG
rnacentral:rRNA from 1 species